rnacentral:rRNA from 1 species
CAGCAGCCGCGGUAAUACGUAGGGCGCAAGCGUUAUCCGGAAUUAUUGGGCGUAAAGAGCUCGUAGGCGGUUUGUCGCGCCUGCCGUGAAAGUCCGGGGCUCAACCCCGGAUCUGCGGUGGGUACGGGCAGACUAGAGUGAUGUAGGGGAGACUGGAAUUCCUGGUGUAGCGGUGAAAUGCGCAGAUAUCAGGAGGAACACCGAUGGCGAAGGCAGGUCUCUGGGCAUUAACUGACGCUGAGGAGCGAAAGCAUGGGGAGCGAACAGGAUUAGAUACCCCCGUAGUCCCUGUCUCUUAUAC